ACAUUCAUAUAUAUAUAUAUAUAUUCAUGGAGCAUGUAAUCAUAUAAUCAUAUUAAUAAUCAAGAGCCAGACUCAAUUAGAAUCUCAUGCUCCCUAGUACAAUAUGCAGGUAAAGACUUUACAUUCUAUUUAAGUAGUUAAGCACAUAACCACAUAAAUAGUUACCAUACCCUGAGUGAAGCUAUCUUUAGUGACGAGUGUACUUGCCCAUCUUGUCUUCGGGAACCCUUAACCUUGGCUUGCUCUGAUACCAAGUGUGUAACACCCUACUACCCAGGGAGCGUUACGUUGUGCAUUUUAAACAGUGCUAAACUCGCUAACCGAGCCAUUUGUUCAUAAUCAUGUAACUAAGUGUGAUUAACGGUUUAGGGUUAAAUUUUUUUGUCAAAGAUACAAUGUUUCAUUAAAACAUUUACUAUAUACACUGGGAUCGCAAAAUAUAAUUUAAAGGUUAAUUACAAUAAAAUAUUUACAACCAGAUGACCAAAGCGGCAAAAUAGGGUUUAACCGUAGUUCCUCUAUAAACCCUUGGCCGUGGCGGUCGAGCAGCAGCAUAUGUACACAUCUUCACCUAAGCUCUCCAACUCAAGGAUGGUCCUGCUUUCUUUUGCCUUUACCUGCACCACAUAGCACCCGUGAGCCGAAGCUCAGCAAGAAAACUCAAUAUGCUCAUGAACAAGUAAUAACAUGUUACUAAAUCACUAUAUACAUUCCUAGUAGUAAUAACCCUACUCAUGCAUGCAAGUAGGUACAAAUAAAUGUUUGUGGAGUCCUGCACUCUGAGUAGAUGACUAAUAAGUCACUCACUCUGAGGUAGAUUACUAAUAAGUCUCUCUAAGGUAGACGACUGAUAAGUCUCUCUAAAUAGUUAACAAAUAAGUCACUCUCAAAAUAGAUGACUGAUAAGUCUAUCUCUGUGUAGAUGACUGAUAAGUCUAUCUCUAGACAGGUGACUAAUGAGUCACAGUCUGGAUAGAUGACUAAUGAGUCACACUCUGUAUAGGUGACUAAUGAGUCACACUCUGAAUAGGUGACUAAUGAGUCACACUCUGGAUAGGUGACUAAUGAGUCACACUCUUUGGGCUAUGCACCCUAAUCAGAUAAGUGACUAAUGAAUGAGUCACAAACUUGGGCUCAGCCCCCACAUCCAUGUGACAUUGCAGUCACCUGAGCCAUUUGGCCCUGGCUCUAAGUAACUAGCCUUUAGACUAGACAAGCGCUUUUGUUUUCAUCAAACUUAAGGUCGAUAAAACAUUUCAUGCUUAUGAUGAUAAUACUUAUGUCGAUUAGUAAUAAUCUUUUCAACUUAUGUUAAACACGCUAAUAUCGUUCUUGACUCAUAAGCCAAUACCAUACGACCAGUGCUCAGUAUUACUGCCGAACUUGACAAAUGAGUCACAGCUUCCUCAAUGAGGUAAUGCAAACAAACAUGUAUCAUAUGUCAAAUAUUCAGAUAUAAGGCAUUUAGCAUGCUUAAUAAAUAAUCAUAAGCAUAAUUAUAAUCAUGCACAAUUACAAAGCCUCAAGCUUUUAUCAAUCUCAUAUUCAACUUUCAUGCCAUGCCCUAAUCUCAUGUAUCUUGUGCAUCACAUGCAUCACAUAUUGGGUAUAGUUUUCUUAUAUCUGGUUCGAGGGAGAAAUAAGUUAAAAAUGACCCUUGAGAACGAUCAAUCCUUUGAUCCCUUAUCAGUCACCUAGUCAUAACCAAAUAUGGAAUUCCAUCAAUAAAAUCAACAAUAAAAGGUUCAUGAUCUAAACCUCGCUCCCGGGACCUCAAAUCCCACUAACAAGGUUAAUAAAUUUGAUCUCGAGCCUUAAGAAUUGAUACCACGAGUCAAAAACCCUAAAAAGUGCCCUGGAAAAACAGGGUAGCGCUACAGCAUUGUCGCCCAGGCGCUAUGACACUACAAGCAGAGCUACCAUGCCCUGGACAGUGUUGUAGUGCCAGAACCAUGGUAUUCCAACCCUAGUUUUUCCCCCUUCGAGUUUUCCAAUUUCCAAACUUCAAAAACUGCUUCCAAACCUCAACUAAACACAAAAAUGAACCCAUAAACCAAUCCUACAAGUCUUAGGCAUCAAAACCCAAUAAAAGUUUUCCAAAAACUUCAUUGAAUUCGCAACUAUCAAAUCCAAAAUUCCAACUAAAAACUAACUGAAAAAAAAUGUCGCUACAGCCAGAGUUGACAUGCACUAGAUAGUGUUGUAGCGCCAGAACCAGGGUAUUCCAGCCCUGGUUUUUCCUCUUUGAGUUCUCCACUUUCAAAACUUCAAAAGCUGCUUCCAAACCUCAACUAAACCCAAAAAUGAAUCCAUAAACCAAUCCUACUAGUCUUAGGCAUCAAAACCCAAUCAAAUUUUGCCAAAAACUUUAUUGAAUUCACAACUAUCAAAUAAAAAAUUCCAACUGAAAACUAACUGAAAAACAGGGCAUAAACUAGAGAUUUCAUGGCUGAAUUUCUUACCUCAAACUCAGGAUUAGACCCUCUUCAAUGGAUGAACACAAUCCUAAACCCCCAUGCCUUGAUUCCCUUGCUUGAAUCCUCAAUUGGAGCUUCAAAAUUUCAAAGGAAAUAGGAGAAAUAGAUGUUCGGGAGGAAGAGGAAGAAACGUGCUCUGUUUUUACUGCUUAAGCUUCCUUCUACAACUUUCUAGUUGAAUAUAUCCCUUGGUCAAAUGACCAAAAUGCCCCUAGGUUAAAUAAUUUCCUUUCAAGGCUAGCAAGGGAAAAAUCGCCAUUUUUCAUCCAUCUCAUUAAUUAUAACUAACGUCCUCCAAUUCCCGUUAUUCCCAAUAUUCUCAAAUACUAAUAAAUCAUAUCCCAUUACCCUAUAAUUCCCGAUAAUGUACUAAUCAUCAAAUUAUCCUGAGACUCACCCUGGGCCGGGAAAUUAACCCCGUUAUGACAAAACCGCUAACAUCCAUUCAAAGAUCGUCUCAUGUCGAAUAGCUCGAAUAAAUCCACAUUAUAAUGUGGCCUCAUUCAUAAUUCACCAACAUGCAUGAAAAUAUACAAAUAUGCCCUCAACGGGCCAAAUUACCAAAAUGCCUUUAUAAUUAAAAGUGGACCCAUAUGCAUGCAUUUAUCAUCAUAUAAUAAUAUAACUCACAUAAUCAUGCAUAUAAUCAUUUAAUGACAUAAUAAUUCAUUUAUGUCCCUCCCAGCCUCCUAAUCAAGGUCCUAAGCCUUAUUAGGAAAUUUGGGUCAUUACAAAUACAUUAUGAUAAAACAUUGUUGUGAUAUUUGUAUUGAUUCAUACUAAUUUUUUAUACAUUUAUGAAUGGAUCAUAAAAUUUGGAUUCGAAAAAAAUAUCUAUCUAAGUCAAAGAACCUAAAAUGGAUCCAAGAUUAACAUUAUCAUAUGUUUAGUACUUGGUUAGAGAGUAAGGUAUUGAUUUAAGUAAAUAAUUUUAUAUCUUUUGUUUUGAUUGCAUGACAUGUCAUUAAUUUUUAUUUCAUUUUUGGUUUUUAACAAAGACUGCAAUUGAAGUGACUCAAACAUCAAGUCAUGUGUCAAACAUAGUUAAGUGGAUUUCCCGUGGUCCUUCUCUGAAUGUGUUUAAGUACCCAUCAUACAUUGUGAAUGGUACUCAAUUCAAUACUUUGGAACGAGAUAAUGUAAGAACCACACAGAAUAGUGCAGUUUGUAUUGAAGAAAAACUCUCUAGUUCAAAGGACAAAAAUCCUGUAGAGUGUGAUAUGACAUUUUAUGGACUAAUCUAAGAAAUUUGGGAAUUAGAUUAUAUUACAACUAGAGUGCCAGUCUUCUUAUGUGAUUGGGUGUAAAGUGAUAAGGGAGUAAAUGUUGAUGAUUUAGGUUUUACAUAUGUUGAUUUAAAUCGAAUUGAGCACAUAAAUGAUCAUUUCAUAAUGGCAACACAAGCCAAACUAGUUUUUUUAUGUGAAUGAUCCAUCAGACAAGCAAUGGUCAGUCGUGGUUCCUACUCAACCGAUAUAUUGGAGAGACAAAGAGAAUGAUGUACAUGACCUGCCACUUCUUCAGCAACCUGUCACAAUUCCUGAACCAUAGCUUACCGAAUACCCUAUUGAUGAUGGUGUAGAUGACGAUGAUAUUUGUUUGCGUUUUUAUGAUAUUUUCAUGCCGUAUCCAGAAGGUUUUGAUGUUGAUUGUCCACUUCCUGGACUUGAUGAUGAUUGCUUACUUCCUGGGCUAGAUGAUGUUGGUCAGGAGGAGAAUGAUGAAGAUGGUAUAGAGGAGGUGGGAUUUGUUAGAGGACUAUGUACCAUCCUCGACAUAGCCAAGAUGCGAAGUGAAGGUGUUAAGGUACCGAUCAAGUUCAACGAAUAUGGACAAGUGAUUGGUACAACGAGAUCAAAAUUAGGAUCAAUGAUCAGAUCAACUUUAAAGUGGUAUGCUUCAAUUACCCAUGCGAGUUGGGAUAAUGUCCUAGAAUCAGACAAAGAAAAAUUUAAGGAUAUCAUUAAGGCUACGUUUGACAUAGACUAUAAAGCAAAAAGAAAAAUUAUGUCAGGGGCGGCAAAACAAUGGAGAUCAUUCAAAUCCUAUUUGACUAAAGUAUGCAUCCACGAUAAGCUAGACGUAAAUCCAACCAUCAAGAUGUUCAAAAUGCCAAGAGGUUGCUCACAGUUGAUCACUAAAACAGAAUGAGAUAAGUUAUGUGUUUCUUGUAUGACUGAUGAUUGGAAGAAAAAAAAGAAAAAUACAUCAAGAUCUUCGAAAAGAAAAAGAAACACGACCAUCAUAUGUUACGAGGUGGGUAUCUGUUGGUAGUGAAAAGGCUGCAACAACAAAAUUUUGGACUCGAGGUGUCUAAAAUCGACAGGUCAUAGUUUGUGUUGGUGGGACAUUCUAACAAAAAGGGUGAGUCAAUUGGUGCCGAGGCAACAAGCGUAGCUCGCAUAUAGAGCACUUUAGUCAGCUCAUGAGUGAUGGAAAAUUUGAACUGGAUGGGUCUAAGGAUGUGCUUACUAUGGCAUUAGGCACCCCUGAGAAUAGAGGUUGAGUGAGGGAAAUUGGGCUCGGUGUAACGCCUAGCCAAUUUUAAAAAACCCCACGAUCCAGUAAGAUGAAGGGAAAAUAAUUUGAGACUUCCUCAGUUGACGCUCGAUUUGCAAUGAUGGACGAAAAAUACCAUCAACAAGAUGAAACAAUGAAACAACAUCAGGAAAUUAUUAAACGACAAGAGCAAAUGAUGCGACAAUUUAUGGAACAGAUGAAAGGAGAACGUAGUGGCUUUGGAGGAUCUCCUCAUUUGUUAGUGCCACACUAUGGAUCACCCAUAGAUCAGGCGACACCAUCUCAUCAGGCAUCACCAUAAUCGCAGCAUCAACCUCUAGCACCAUCGCCCCCACAACUAGAGGAGGCACCUAUAUUUAUCCCCACUCCUGGCUCAAAUAAGGGUCGAUCACCAAAGUCGUUGGUAGGGGAUACAUUCUUGUUACUAGUAGCAUAGACAUCCAUGGGGAAAACUACCGCGACGCAAUUGAGUUUGCUGACCAACCUAAUGCUCUACUAGUUCACCCGAUCCCUACCAGUGAGAUUUAUAUGGUCAAACAAUUAGGACAUUGAUACAUUGGCCUAAGUUGCUAGUCAUCUUCAAUGCAGCGACACAGGAGGUCGUGAAAAAAACAGGAAAUCAAGCUAGGAAAAAACUUCUCUACCAUUCGCACCACCAACACAAAAACUAGUUCCAAAACGAGCACCUAAGGCGUCAUUGUCACAAGAGGUGCAACAACCUUCUCCGUUGUCGCCUAAGUUGAGACAAGUAUAUGAUAUCGUCAAUGAUUGGCCUAAACAUGAUUAUGCCAUUGAAGUGUCCAUUGACUUUGGUGUGUUUGGCCAUGCUUGUGAAUACUUUUCUCUGUUUCGGGAUGAAAUACUUGAAUUUUGUAGAAAGGAGAUGGUUGGACAAUCAUGCAUUGUGUUCUACAUGAGAUAGUCGUGCUCAAGUUUAUGUGAUAGGAUGUUAUACUGAACGUCUAAAAUGCAUGAUUGGAUAAUUAUGCCUUAUAACCAUGGUUCACCUCUGACAAACCUUAUUCUACUCAAGAAAUUGACGAAGUUUGAGAAGAAUAGGCGAUGUCAUUUUUACAAUUGGUUGGAGAAAAAUGAAAGAUGUUAUAAUAGCUAGCUUACAAUACAUGUAGAGAAAUUUAAAUUUCUUUUAAAUUUAUUUUUUUAGUAUUUUCUUUUCAAAUUUCUUUUAAUACAUUUUGGACACUCAAAGGGAUAUGUUUUUUAAAUCAAAAUGAAAAUUGUA